rnacentral:rRNA from 1 species
GAUGAACGCUAGCGGAAGGCUUAAUACAUGCAAGUCGAGCGGUAGGUGGCUUCGGCCAUUGAGAGCGGCGCACGGGUGAGUAACGCGUACAUGACCUGCCUGUCAGAAGGGGAUAGCCCUGGGAAACUGGGAUUAAUACCCUAUGGUAUUGAUAUUAUGAAUGAUAUCAAUUAAAGUUGAGGCGCUGACAGAUGGAUGUGCGUCUGAUUAGCUAGUUGGUAGGGUAACGGCCUACCAAGGCGACGAUCAGUAGGGGGCGUGAGAGCGUGGUCCCCCACACGGGUACUGAGACACGGCCCAGACUCCUACGGGAGGCAGCAGCUAAGAAUCUUCCGCAAUGGGCGAAAGCCUGACGGAGCGACGCCGCGUGGACGAUGAAGGUCUUCGGAUUGUAAAGUCAUUUCGGGGAGGAAGAAUAAGCCGGCUCUAACAGAGACGGUGAUGACGACCCUCCCAGAAGAAGCUCCGGCUAACUACGUGCCAGCAGCCG